rnacentral:rRNA from 1 species
AUACGGAGGAUCCGAGCGUUAUCCGGAUUUAUUGGGUUUAAAGGGUGCGCAGGCGGGAGAUUAAGUCGGCGGUGAAAUUUUGCAGCUCAACUGUAAAAGUGCCUUCGAAACUGGUUUCCUUGAGUGUAGAUGAAGGAGGCGGAAUUUGUGGUGUAGCGGUGAAAUGCAUAGAUAUCACGAGGAACUCCGAUUGCGCAGGCAGCUUACUAAACUACUACUGACGCUCAGGCACGAAGGCGUGGGGAUCAAACAGGAUUAGAUACCCUGGUAGUCCACGCAGUAAACGAUGAUUACUAGCUGUUUGCGAUACAAUGUAAGCGGCUGAGCGAAAGCGUUAAGUAAUCCACCUGGGGAGUACGUUCGCAAGAAUGAAACUCAAAGGAAUUGACGGGG